rnacentral:rRNA from 1 species
UUGGAGGGCAAGUCUGGUGCCAGCAGCCGCGGUAAUUCCAGCUCCAAUAGCGUAUAUUGAAGUUGUUGCAGUUAAAAAGCUCGUAGUUGAAUUUCGGGGUUUAUCCGUUGGUCGGGCUUUUGGGUCUGUACUGGCGUGAUGGAUUCCUACCUUCUGAAUAACCAUCAUGUCAUUAAUUUGGUGCGUUGGGGAAGCAGGACUGUUACCUUGAAAAAAUUAGAGUGCUUAAAGCAGGCUAUUGCCUGAAUACAUUAGCAUGGAAUAAUGAAAUAGGACACAUGGUUCUAUUUUGUUGGUUUCUAGGAUCACCGUAAUGAUUAAUAGGGAUAGUUGGGGGCAUUAGUAUUCAAUUGUCAGAGGUGAAAUUCUUGGAUUUAUUGAAGACUAACUUCUGCGAAAGCAUUUGCCAAGGAUGUUUUCAUUAAUCAAGAACGAAAGUUAGGGGAUCGAAGACGAUCAGAUACCGUCGUAGUCUGAACCAUAAACUAUGCCGACUAGGGAUCGGACGAUGUUAAUUUUUUAAUGACUCGUUCGGCGCCUUACGGGAAAC